rnacentral:rRNA from 1 species
GAUGAACGCUGGCGGCGUGCCUAAUACAUGCAAGUCGAGCGAACAGAUCAGGAGCUUGCGCCUCUGACGUUAGCGGCGGACGGGUGAGUAACACGUGGAUAACCUACCUAUAAGACUGGGAUAACUUCGGGAAACCGGAGCUAAUACCGGAUAAUAUAUUGAACCGCAUGGUUCAAUAGUGGAAGACGGUUUUGCUGUCACUUAUAGAUGGAUCCGGCCCGCAUUAGCUAGUUGGUAAGGUAAAGGGUUACCAAGGCAACGAUGGGAAGCCGACCUGAGAGGGUCAUCGCCUACACUGGAACUGAGACAGGUCCCAGACUCCGACGGGAGGAAGCAGUAGGGAAUCUUCCGCAAUGGGCGAGAGCCUGACGGAGCACCACCGCGUGAGUGAUGAAGGUCUUCUGAUCGUAAAGCUCUGUUAUUAGGGAAGAACAAAUGUGUAAGUACCUAUGCACGUCUUGACGGUACCGAAUCAGAAAGCCACGGCUAACUACGUG